AUAGAUUUGGAGCCGAGGGGCAACCAGGCUAUAAUCCCCGCGGGGCCACCGUCCAUAGGUGUGGAAGCGCUGUUACACAUUUCUCCCUGUUUCACCACAGCCUCAGCAACAGAUUCGGUAUUUUGUCCGACUUGUAGAUUUUUGCCAUCAGAUUCUUCUUCUCAACAACAGGGAGCACUAUUUGACAUAAAUGAAGACAAGGACAAUGAUCAAGUCUGAAAGAGAGUUAAUUGAAAAGGAGUAGCCGGCUCUGAUCUCCAGAUUGAGCUUCUGAGGAGGAUUUGAGGAAGUCAGAAAGAACAGAUCCCAGGUAGCUGUUGGUCCAAGGAAAACAAAAGAUGAGUGGAGCUGACCUGAACCUGACCUGUGUCCUGAAGCAGAACUUCCCCAGACUACUCUCAG